rnacentral:rRNA from 1 species
UAAGCGACUAAGCGUACACGGUGGAUGCCCUGGCAGUCAGAGGCGAUGAAGGACGUGCUAAUCUGCGAUAAGCGUCGGUAAGGUGAUAUGAACCGUUAUAACCGGCGAUUUCCGAAUGGGGAAACCCAGUGUGUUUCGACACACUAUCAUUAACUGAAUCCAUAGGUUAAUGAGGCGAACCGGGGGAACUGAAACAUCUAAGUACCCCGAGGAAAAGAAAUCAACCGAGAUUCCCCCAGUAGCGGCGAGCGAACGGGGAGCAGCCCAGAGCCUGAAUCAGUGUGUGUGUUAGUGGAAGCGUCUGGAAAGGCGCGCGAUACAGGGUGACAGCCCCGUACACAAAAAUGCACAUACUGUGAGCUCGAUGAGUAGGGCGGGACACGUGGUAUCCUGUCUGAAUAUGGGGGGACCAUCCUCCAAGGCUAAAUACUCCUGACUGACCGAUAGUGAACCAGUACCGUGAGGGAAAGGCGAAAAGAACCCCGGCGAGGGGAGUGAAAAAGAACCUGAAACCGUGUACGUACAAGCAGUGGGAGCCUCUUUUAUGGGGUGACUGCGUACCUUUUGUAUAAUGGGUCAGCGACUUAUAUUCUGUAGCAAGGUUAACCGAAUAGGGGAGCCGAAGGGAAACCGAGUCUUAACCGGGCGUUAAGUUGCAGGGUAUAGACCCGAAACCCGGUGAUCUAGCCAUGGGCAGGUUGAAGGUUGGGUAACACUAACUGGAGGACCGAACCGACUAAUGUUGAAAAAUUAGCGGAUGACUUGUGGCUGGGGGUGAAAGGCCAAUCAAACCGGGAGAUAGCUGGUUCUCCCCGAAAGCUAUUUAGGUAGCGCCUCGUGAAUUCAUCUCCGGGGGUAGAGCACUGUUUCGGCAAGGGGGUCAUCCCGACUUACCAACCCGAUGCAAACUGCGAAUACCGGAGAAUGUUAUUACGGGAGACACACGGCGGGUGCUAACGUCCGUCGUGAAGAGGGAAACAACCCAGACCGCCAGCUAAGGUCCCAAAGUCAUGGUUAAGUGGGAGACGAUGUGGGAAGGCCCAGACAGCCAGGAUGUUGGCUUAGAAGCAGCCAUCAUUUAAAGAAAGCGUAAUAGCUCACUGGUCGAGUCGGCCUGCGCGGAAGAUGUAACGGGGCUAAACCAUGCACCGAAGCUGCGGCAGCGACACUGUGUGUUGUUGGGUAGGGGAGCGUUCUGUAAGCCUGUGAAGGUGUACUGUAAGGUAUGCUGGAGGUAUCAGAAGUGCGAAUGCUGACAUAAGUAACGAUAAAGCGGGUGAAAAGCCCGCUCGCCGGAAGACCAAGGGUUCCUGUCCAACGUUAAUCGGGGCAGGGUGAGUCGACCCCUAAGGCGAGGCCGAAAGGCGUAGUCGAUGGGAAACAGGUUAAUAUUCCUGUACUUGGUGUUACUGCGAAGGGGGGACGGAGAAGGCUAUGUUGGCCGGGCGACGGUUGUCCCGGUUUAAGCGUGUAGGCUGGUUUUCCAGGCAAAUCCGGAAAAUCAAGGCUGAGGCGUGAUGACGAGGCACUACGGUGCUGAAGCAACAAAUGCCCUGCUUCCAGGAAAAGCCUCUAAGCAUCAGGUAACAUCAAAUCGUACCCCAAACCGACACAGGUGGUCAGGUAGAGAAUACCAAGGCGCUUGAGAGAACUCGGGUGAAGGAACUAGGCAAAAUGGUGCCGUAACUUCGGGAGAAGGCACGCUGAUAUGUAGGUGAAGUCCCUCGCGGAUGGAGCUGAAAUCAGUCGAAGAUACCAGCUGGCUGCAACUGUUUAUUAAAAACACAGCACUGUGCAAACACGAAAGUGGACGUAUACGGUGUGACGCCUGCCCGGUGCCGGAAGGUUAAUUGAUGGGGUCAGCGCAAGCGAAGCUCUUGAUCGAAGCCCCGGUAAACGGCGGCCGUAACUAUAACGGUCCUAAGGUAGCGAAAUUCCUUGUCGGGUAAGUUCCGACCUGCACGAAUGGCGUAAUGAUGGCCAGGCUGUCUCCACCCGAGACUCAGUGAAAUUGAACUCGCUGUGAAGAUGCAGUGUACCCGCGGCAAGACGGAAAGACCCCGUGAACCUUUACUAUAGCUUGACACUGAACAUUGAGCCUUGAUGUGUAGGAUAGGUGGGAGGCUUUGAAGUGUGGACGCCAGUCUGCAUGGAGCCGACCUUGAAAUACCACCCUUUAAUGUUUGAUGUUCUAACGUGGACCCGUGAUCCGGGUUGCGGACAGUGUCUGGUGGGUAGUUUGACUGGGGCGGUCUCCUCCUAAAGAGUAACGGAGGAGCACGAAGGUUGGCUAAUCCUGGUCGGACAUCAGGAGGUUAGUGCAAUGGCAUAAGCCAGCUUGACUGCGAGCGUGACGGCGCGAGCAGGUGCGAAAGCAGGUCAUAGUGAUCCGGUGGUUCUGAAUGGAAGGGCCAUCGCUCAACGGAUAAAAGGUACUCCGGGGAUAACAGGCUGAUACCGCCCAAGAGUUCAUAUCGACGGCGGUGUUUGGCACCUCGAUGUCGGCUCAUCACAUCCUGGGGCUGAAGUAGGUCCCAAGGGUAUGGCUGUUCGCCAUUUAAAGUGGUACGCGAGCUGGGUUUAGAACGUCGUGAGACAGUUCGGUCCCUAUCUGCCGUGGGCGCUGGAGAACUGAGGGGGGCUGCUCCUAGUACGAGAGGACCGGAGUGGACGCAUCACUGGUGUUCGGGUUGUCAUGCCAAUGGCACUGCCCGGUAGCUAAAUGCGGAAGAGAUAAGUGCUGAAAGCAUCUAAGCACGAAACUUGCCCCGAGAUGAGUUCUCCCUGACCCUUUAAGGGUCCUGAAGGAACGUUGAAGACGACGACGUUGAUAGGCCGGGUGUGUAAGCGCAGCGAUGCGUUGAGCUAACCGGUACUAAUGAACCGUGAGGCUUAACCU